UACGUAGGGGGCAAGCGUUGUCCGGGUUUAUUGGGCGUAAAGAGCGUGUAGGCGGUUUGGUAGGUCCGUUGUGAAAACUCGAGGCUCAACCUCGAGACGCCGAUGGAAACCAUCAGACUAGAGUCCGGAAGAGGAGAGUGGAAUUCCUGGUGUAGCGGUGAAAUGCGCAGAUAUCAGGAAGAACACCCGUGGCUAAGGCGGCUCUCUUGUACGGUACUGACGCUGAGACGCGAAAGCGUGGGGAGCGAACAGG
rnacentral:rRNA from 1 species